rnacentral:rRNA from 1 species
GCUGCCGGGGGACAUCUGUCCCCGGGUCCGCGCUCGCCGAAGACACCUUAGAACUCUGUCUGAAGAUUGUAGUCUGAGAUUAAAUAUAAAUUAUUUAAAACUUUCAACAACGGAUCUCUUGGUUCCGGCAUCGAUGAAGAACGCAGCGAAAUGCGAUACGUAAUGUGAAUUGCAGAAUUCAGUGAAUCAUCGAGUCUUUGAACGCACAUUGCGCCCUCUGGUAUUCCGGAGGGCAUGCCUGUCCGAGCGUCAUUGCUGCCCUCAAGCACGGCUUGUGUGUUGGGCUCCGUCCUCCUUCCGGGGGACGGGCCCGAAAGGCAGCGGCGGCACCGCGUCCGGUCCUCAAGCGUAUGGGGCUUUGUCACCCGCUUUGUAGGACUGGCCGGCGCCUGCCGAUCAACCAAACUUUUUCCAGGUGACCUCGGAUCA